rnacentral:rRNA from 1 species
UACGUAGGGGGCAAGCGUUGUCCGGAUUUAUUGGGCGUAAAGGGUGCGUAGGCGGCGCGGUAAGUCGGGUGUGAAAUCUUGGAGCUUAACUCCGAAACUGCAUUCGAUACUGCCGUGCUUGAGGACUGGAGAGGAGACUGGAAUUUACGGUGUAGCGGUGAAAUGCGUAGAUAUCGUAAGGAAGACCAGUGGCGAAGGCGGGUCUCUGGACAGUUCCUGACGCUGAGGCACGAAGGCCAGGGGAGCAAACGGG